GUCUACAGCCAUACCACCCUGAAUGCACCCAAUCUCGUCUGAUCUCGGAAGUUAAGCAGGGUCGGGCCUGGUUUGUACUUGGAUGGGAGACAAAUUGUCAACAGAGAAUAGGUAGCUGGGGUGU
rnacentral:rRNA from 1 species